CUGACCUUAGUUCAGUGGGUAGAGUGGUGGACUGUAGUUGGACUAAUCUAAAUUGGAAAUCCUUAGGUCGCUGGUUUGAUUCCGGCAGGUUGGA
rfam:Ipomoea nil DNA, scaffold: scaffold2701, cultivar: Tokyo-kokei standard.